rnacentral:rRNA from 1 species
GAUGAACGCUGACAGAAUGCUUAACACAUGCCAGUCAACUUGAAUUUGGGUUUUUAACUUAGGUUUGGGUGGCGGACGGGUGAGUAACGCGUAAAGAACUUGCCUCACAGCUAGGGACAACAUUUGGAAACGAAUGCUAAUACCUAAUAUUAUGAUAAUAGGGCAUCCUAUAAUUAUGAAAGCUAUAAGCGCUGUGAGAGAGCUUUGCGUCCCAUUAGCUAGUUGGAGAGGUAACGGCUCACCAAGGCGAUGAUGGGUAGCCGGCCUGAGAGGGUGAUCGGCCACAAGGGGACUGAGACACGGCCCUUACUCCUACGGGAGGCAGCAGUGGGGAAUAUUGGACAAUGGACCGAGAGUCUGAUCCAGCAAUUCUGUGUGCACGAUGAAGUUUUUCGGAAUGUAAAGUGCUUUCAGUUGGGAAGAAACAAAUGACGGUACCAACAGAAGAAGUGACGGCUAAAUACGUG